GAUGAAGAACGCAGCGAAAUGCGAUAGGUAGUGUGAAUUGCAGAUGUAACGUGAAUCAUCGAGUCUUUGAACGCACAUUGCGCCCCCUGGUAUUCCGGGGGGCAUGCCUGUCCGAGCGUCAUUGCUGCCCUCAAGCACGGCUUGUGUGUUGGGCCUCCGUCCUCCUCCCGGGGGACGGGCCCGAAAGGCAGCGGCGGCACCGCGUCCGGUCCUCGAGCGUAUGGGGCUUCGUCACCCGCUCUUGUAGGCCCGGCCGGCGCUUGCCGACACAUCAAUCUUUUUUCCAGGUUGACCUCGGAUCAGGUAGGGAUACCCGCUGAACUUAAGCAUAUCAAUAAGCGGAGGA
rnacentral:misc_RNA from 1 species